UACGUAGGGUGCGAGCGUUGUCCGGAAUUAUUGGGCGUAAAGGGCUCGUAGGCGGUUUGUCGCGUCGGGAGUGAAUCCACUGGCUUAACUGGUGGCUUGCUUUCGAUACGGGCAGACUGGAGGUAUGCAGGGGAGAACGGAAUUCCUGGUGUAGCGGUGAAAUGCGCAGAUAUCAGGAGGAACACCGGUGGCGAAGGCGGGUCUCUGG
rnacentral:rRNA from 1 species